rnacentral:rRNA from 1 species
AGUAGGAUAAGCUAAGCACACUGUUGGUUAUGUGUGCCCAAGCAUUGAGGCAGUCAAAGUAGGCAAAUCCGCUUUGAUAAUGCUGGGAUGUGAUGGGGAGCGAAAUUUAGUAGCGAAGUAGCUGAUUUCACACUGUCAAGAAAAGUCUCUAUCGAGGUUAAAGGUACCCGUACCGCAAACCGACACAGGUGGGUGAGGAGAGUAUCCUAAGGCCAGCGAGAGAACUGUUGUUAAGGAACUCGGCAAAAUGACCCCGUAACUUAGGGAU